GAUGAACGCUGGCGGCGUGCCUAAUACAUGCAAGUCGAGCGAACAGACGAGGAGCUUGCUCCUCUGACGUUAGCGGCGGACGGGUGAGUAACACGUGGAUAACCUACCUAUAAGACUGGGAUAACUUCGGGAAACCGGAGCUAAUACCGGAUAAUAUAUUGAACCGCAUGGUUCAAUAGUGAAAGUCGGUUUUGCUGUCACUUAUAGAUGGAUCCGCGCCGCAUUAGCUAGUUGGUAAGGUAACGGCUUACCAAGGCAACGAUGCGUAGCCGAACUGAGAGGGUGGUAGGCCACACGGGAACUGAGACAGGGACAAGGCGCCUACGGGAGGCAGCAGUAGGGAAUCUGACGCAAUGGGCGAAAGCUUGACGGAGCAACGCGGCGUGAGUGAUGAAGGUCUUCGGAUCGUAAAACUCGGUUAUUAGGGAAGAACAAAUGUGUAAGUAAAUAUGCACGUCGUGACGGUACCUAGUAAGAAAGCAACGGCUAACUACGUG
rnacentral:rRNA from 1 species